rnacentral:rRNA from 1 species
CUCCCGUUGAUCCUGCCAGACCCGACUGCUAUCAGAGUGGGACUAAGCCAUGCGAGUCAACGCAGCAAUGCGUGGCAUACGGCUCAGUAACACGUAGUCAACAUGCCCAGGGGACGUGGAUAACCUCGGGAAACUGAGGAUAAACCGCGAUAGGCCAAGGUUUCUGGAAUGGACACUGGCUGAAACCUACAUGGCCCCUGGAUUGGACUGCGGCCGAUCAGGCUGUUGGUGAGGUAAUGGCCCACCAAACCUGUAACCGGUACGGGCUUUGAGAGAAGGAGCCCGGAGAUGGGCACUGAGACAAGGGCCCAGGCCCUAUGGGGCGCAGCAGGCGCGAAAAUUCUGCAAUAGGCGAAAGCUUGACAGAGUUACUCUGAGUGAUGCCCGCUAAGGGCAUCUUUUGGCACCUCUAAAAAUGGUGCAAAAUAAGGGGUGGGCAAGUCUGGUGUCAGCCGCCGCGGUAAUACCAGCACCCCGAGUGGUCGGGACGAUUAUUGGGCCUAAAGCAUCCGUAGCUUGUUCUGCAAGUCUUCCGUUAAAUCCACCUGCUCAACAGAUGGGCUGCGGGAGAUACUACAGGGCUAGGAGGCGGGGAGAGGCAAGCGGUACUCAGUGGGUAGGGGUAAAAUCCUCUGAUCCACUGAAGACCACCCAGUGGCCGAA